rnacentral:rRNA from 1 species
GACGAACCACACAAACGUUAUUCGGAAUUACUGGGCUUAAAGGGUGCGUAGGCGGCGCGGAAAGUUGGGUGUGAAAUCCCUCGGCUCAACCGAGGAACUGCGCCCAAAACUACCGUGCUCGAGGGAGAUAGAGGUGAGCGGAACUUAGGGUGGAGCGGUGAAAUGCGUUGAUAUCCUAAGGAACACCCGUGGCGAAAGCGGCUCACUGGCCCGAUACUGACGCUGAGGCACGAAAGCGUGGGGAGCAAACAGG